rnacentral:tRNA from 1 species
GCAUUCGUGGUGUUAUGGUUAGCACACUCGGUACAUUAUUCGAGAGGUCCAGGGUUCGAGUCCCGGUGAGGGCA